rnacentral:rRNA from 1 species
UACGUAGGGUGCGAGCGUUGUCCGGAAUUAUUGGGCGUAAAGGGCUCGUAGGCGGUUUGUCGCGUCGGGAGUGAAAACACCGGGCUUAACUCGGUGCUUGCUUUCGAUACGGGCAGACUAGAGGCAUGCAGGGGAGAACGGAAUUCCUGGUGUAGCGGUGAAAUGCGCAGAUAUCAGGAGGAACACCGGUGGCGAAGGCGGUUCUCUGGGCAUGUCCUGACGGUGAGGAGCGAAAGUGUGGGGAGCGAACAGG